CACUUAUCCUAACUUGAAAAUUUAUGUAUUAAUUAUUUGUGCAAAUGAAAAAGUUAACUUAGCUAAGGAUGUUUUGAGUUGGCGUGUUGGGCAGUGUUUUAAGUGUUAUUCCAGCAGCAAAAGUAACAUCUGACUUUGUUUUGAUGUUUUCAAACUAAGUGAAUUUCAUUAGUUAUUAUGCCUUGUGCAGAUCAUGAAUAACUCAAUAUGUUUUGCAGAUGGUUUGAAAUAAUUAAUUGCAGUACAAGUUCCCCCAUUCGCAACUGUUCAGACAGAAGGUUGGAGUGGUUACAAGAGACGUUCAUUAAAAAGUUGCUGAAAUGGAAGAAUGAUGUUGAAGUGAACCACCCAGGAGAAGACAAACGAUUAAUGGCCCGACCAACUUUGGAGGGGUUGUUGUUUACCACAAAAAUUUUUUAAGACAAACGAUUAAUGGCCCGACCAACUCUGGAGGGGUUGUUGUUUACCACAAAAAUUUUUAUCGAAUUAUCUCGCAGGCUGUUACAAUGUCUUUGUCGAGACCUUGUUUAUUUAAACUAAACUUAGGCUUUAUUUAACAUAACGUAACUACGACCUUAAUCAAAUAGAAUAUUAGAUAUAGAUUAAAAUAACAACGGAAAUGAUAUCACUAAACUCAGUAAGCUAAUUCAAACAGUAACACUGCAACUGAAAGACGGGAGUUAAAACAAAUGGUGAAACGUGGCGAACAAAAGAAGGAACACACGAAAGUAAUUAUUAGCGGCGCGCGCCGCACACAGUGUUGCCGUUUGUGGAAUGCUUCACA